GCGGCGGUGCUGGCCGGCUGUCCACAGCUGGAGCGGCUGACGGCGUGGAGGCUGGAGCCGGCGCUGGAGCUCUGCCUGCCGCCGGCCGGCCUCCCCUCCCUCCGACACCUGGACGUGACGGACUCCGGUGGAGUCACCGACUCCACGCUGAAGCGGCUGCCCGACCUGCUGCCAGGCCUGCAUUCACUCAGCAUAUGCGGGUGUCGCGGGGUGACGGUUGUUGGGCUGGACAGCCUGCCGCGGCUCAGGCAGCUGCGUCAGCUGGACCUGACCAGGCUGUCAGCUGUGACGGACGCCACACUGGACCGGCUACACGGGCCGCGUCUGAGGAUGCUGAACCUGACCGAGUGCGUCUCUUGUUCAACAGAUGGGGUCACACGGCUGGUGCUCGGCUGUCCGUCACUGACGGUACUGGGGUGGGGGUGGUCUGACCUAGACCGGACCAGGUCCCUGGUAGACAGCCUGGUGCGCCAGCUGCCCCCGGACCGUGACGUCACGCUCGAGGUCAACGCCGGGCAUCUGCAGCGUCUGCCGCCGCUGUCGCCCGGCCCGCUCAGCCUGAGGAAAUAUAAGCCAUGGUGAGCAUCACACAGGCCACAGUGCUGCGGCCCGGCCCGGUCAGGUGCGCCGCCACCGUCCGACACGCCACAGCCACGUGUUGCCGGCCCACCGGCGCACGCCCUCCACUGCCGACGCCGCGUGUCGCCACGUGCCUGCACGUGC
rnacentral:misc_RNA from 1 species